AGUUUUGGUUUUCAUUUGGCCUUUGGUAUAAUAGUGAUCCUUCAUUCAGGGCUUAUCAAGCGAUUUUUGCUUUCAGUUUUUAAUUUUCUUUUCUGGUUCCUAGGUUUGUCUUGUAUCCAAUACAUUCUAGAUCACUUUGGCGAUUUUGAAAGUUCAUCUGUAAGGGAGGAUCAAAACUCAUCUGAAAGUGAGCGGUUCGAUCCCGAGGACGAAGAUGAAAAAUCUCGCCAUUCUCAAGUUCAAUUUAUAGUAGGAGGUGACUCACCAGUUAAUGAGACAUCGCCCGCUCAAAAAUUAGUUUCCCAGCAAUCAGAUGAAGCGUCAACUGCGUCAGAGAAACAAGGGGCUUUGUCGCAUAGUGACCGAGAAGCUUCUGUGCCUUACUUAAAUAAGAACCAGAAAUCGAUCAGAGUGAGCCAAAACGUAGAUGCAAUGGCUUUGGAGACAGAGUGCCGACCCGGACGUAAGCACUCGCAAACUUCGCAAACAUCACAAGGAUCAACAGAAAAUAUUGAGAUCCUACCGCGAGGAAGACGGCUGCAUAAACGCAACGAACUCCACCAGUCACACUCAACCAGUGGCGUUUCAUCUGCUGACGAGGAAGUUUUGGCAGGUGAGCUCCUUGCCUCCGCAACAGAAGACGUCAGUGAUCUUAAGCGGCAGAAGAAGUCGCUUCUUCACUUUCCCAAAUUCUCAAGGAAAGUUAAGCAGUCAUCCAGUCCACAGCUGAAUGUGUCCUCCUCCUCAAAGUUGCCCACUUAGCAUUGGUUCGUUAAGGGCUCAAGAGACGUGAGUGUAAUGUUUUGUUAAGUUUUUGUUUUUUGGAAGUCAUGCUCAAGAGGGACAAGUGCUCUUAAGAAAGAAUGCCUGUGAUAAUAGUAUCUAUGAUUCAGGUCGGCAGAGGUGCGUUUAUUAUGUAGAGAAGAUGCACAGAUAUUUCCUGGGGAAGAAUUCCAUGUUUUUAUCACUUUAUACCUUUUCUUUUUCUUGCUUUGCCUCAGUGUCCAACAGGUAGUGAAGGCAAUAAGUUGGGAUUCGAUCGGUAGAUUAUAGCUGCUUUAUAAACGAAAAUUUAUUUCAAAAUUACCAGAACCAAAAAUUACAAUUUAUUGUGAUUAAUUACUCUUUUAUCAAUAUCAAUUUUAGACGAUAUUAAGAAAGAAAAAAUAAAUUGACAUAAAAUUGCAUUUUUAUCAAAGUCGGAUUUCAUUGCAAUGAGUCCGGAUGAAAACACUCAAAUGUUGAUGAUUCCAGCAAUUUUAUUGCAAUGAAUAGUCAACAAAAUCACAUCUCUUCCAUCUUAAAAUGCUACUUGGGUGGUGUAGAUUUGACUGAAAGAGGUUUCCGUGUCAUCUCUUAACAUCCCAACUCUUAUUAAAGAGAAUCAGUUGUUUAUUUUGAAAAAUGUCAGCCCUCUAACCUGCUCCUCGAUGUAUUCAUAUCUAUGAAAAACCAAAAGUAUAUUUUAGAGGUAGCUCUAUAGUGCACCGCAGAUUCAGUUGAUAUCUCCAAUAAGUGAUUCAGUUUUUUUUGAUGCGAAAAGAUUUGACUGCCAAAGUUUUACCACUCAUGUAAUCAUUUAAGUAACAAUCUUUUACAUAAAUAUUAUAGCUUAUUUUAAGGGAGAAUCCAUUGAAGCAGAUCCUAACAGGAUGUUCCAACAGGGUAGCAAUGUCUGCAAAGUUUUUACCUCGAGUAAAAGUUUUUUGACUAGACUUGUCAAUCCCAUAAAGGUAGCAAAUUACCCGAGUCUCCAAAAAAUAUUCAUGAACCAAUUAAGAGCUAUCAAAAUUUCGUUCCUUCUAAUCACUAAUCAUCAGCAGUAAAACGGAGGGAAGGAACCGUUUUUUCCACUUUAGUUUAACUGAAUUUUUCUUUCUUUCUAUCUAUACAAACUUUAGUAAGCCUUUAAUAACAAUAACCAGUAGAACAGUUUCGAAAAUCCUAUUUAUUACGAUAUGCACUUAAUUCUCGCUUUCAGAAGUACUUUAAGCAAUUUCAUCAUCAAAUUCUGUAUCAAAAUCCCUGAUGCAUUGUAAAAUAUUUUAAAUUCAGAUUUUUUACCCUUUUAAUUUUUUUAAAAUGCCUUAACAUUUUGGAAGAACCUAUGAUGUAUGUGAUGGCAAAGUGCUGAACUAGCGCUGUGGAUUCAUCCAAAGUUUACAAUUUUGUAGGUCCAUAACAAUGUUAGAUUUUUGGAUUUUAAAAGUUAUAACUCUAUGCUUUGCAUCUGUCCCUCUUGGGCAGCAAAUUUUUUAUUCAAGCAGCUUUCUUCUGAUAUUGGAGAAUAUAACACCGAAAGCCUGUUUAAUAGUUUUAGACCCGUGACUCUAGUUGUAUAAGGAUGUAUGCCUAUUUUCAAAUUCCCACCCUAGUAUUAUUGACUGUUAAAUGUGGACCUUAAAAAAUGGGAAAUAAUUGUUAAAAUGUAUGAGGUAGCAAACCCUCUUCGAUUUUUUUUGAAGUAGAAAUGUGAAAUUGCUGCUUAAAAAAAGCUGUACGAAAUUUCUAUCAAAAUUGUGUUAAAUUCUGAAAAUAUCUCUUAUUGAUGCUCAACACGCAAGAUAACUUGCAAAAUAUACAACAUAAAAAACUAAAAUUUUCUGUAAAAUUGUUGUCAAUGUUCACUAAAAUAAAGUGAUCUAAAACGUGUACAAGUCCAUAGGGGCAGUUUUAUGUUAAAAAGAUCAGAAGGGGUUUCUUAACUUGGAUAUUUGAAUCGUCGUAGUUUAGAGUUUUAUCUUUGAAAUUUACAAGUUUUUUAACUUUUUAAUAACAGUCAAUGCUACUGGGCAGGUUUGUAAGAUGUAAAAGACUCAUAGCUUUAGUGUAACAACUCUUGUCUUAAGACUUUUUCCAGUGUGUCAGACUAAUGGUAGCUAGUACAAGAAGUAAUCGUAUAGUACGAGAUUCACUGAACAACUCAGUAUUUUCUGUUUAUUAAAAACAUUAGGUGAGGUGUAAGUGGGAGCAAGAUAAAAAGAAAAUUAAUGUACAAAAGUUUUAUCAAUCGAAAAUGAUCUAGCCUUAAUGAAAAUCCAUUCUCUUGCUUCAGAGAAAAAUUCUCAGAUUUGUCAAUACAAAAAUUAUGACUUCAUAGCUAUACUCAAAAAUGAUUGCGCAUCGAGAUUCUUCCUAAGUUCAUUUGAGGGUGCAGUAAUCAUUAUGAAAGAAGAAUUAUGUCAAUGAAUUAUAAGAAAUUACUUGAUCAAAAGAGACUAUAAUUUGGUUCCAAUAUUUUCUAUGGCAUGCCACUAAAAAAUCUCAUUCUGAGGUUCAAGGUCAAUGAGGCGUAACACUAAUUUUUACACUAUGGUUUCAAACAAAGCUGUCGGGCUCAAAGUUGUUGGCUUCAAACCCUCAUUUGCAAGCAACUGUAAGCAUGUUUAACUUUGUUAUUUGAUUGUUGAUCUAUGGUUUGCACUGUUGAGGAUCUACAAUUGCGUGAGAGUAGUUUUAAGGAGUUAAAAGAAGUGAGUGUAUGACUUAUUGGUUACAUUAUGUACGUUACAUUGGUUACGUUAUGGUGAGUUACAUUGGUUUAACUUUCGGACGACCGCAGUUUUUGAGCCUGGGGGUCAGAAUUUUGUAGUCUUUCUGUAAUAUAAUUUGUGUACGAUACAGGUGGCUUGAGCCUCACAUAAUUUCUCAUGUAAGGACUCGGAUUGGCCAUUGCUGUGGAUUUUAAGGUUCUGUCUACUUUUGCAUUCAUUUAAAAGUUGUAAAAUUUGUUCCUGAAUCAAUAUUAAAUGACUGGUAAAUUCAGGUUGGUGUGAAAGAUAAAACGCAGACAUAACCAAGAUUAUGUAAAGGUAAAGUUGAACGGUUUUUAAUUACUUUCAAAACACGGGAGUGAAAGCACUCGAUGAACCCAAUACCAAAGAAAGUUCUAAAUUUAGGCAGAGUAGCGAGUGCCAGAGACAUUCUGUCCUUUUGUUACCUUGGGAGGUGAAAAUUUGUAUAGAGGUUUAGCUGAACCCUCAAGUGAAUUGGCAGUAUAGAGUUUUACGCUGUAUUUUUUAAUUGCUUUUGAAAAAUUUAAUUGCAGCCUUAAGUUAAGGUUUUUGAGAUAUUUAGCUUCUUUUUUUUAGCAAAAGAUUGAUCUUAUUAAUUGUGUUACCCCCCCGGUUUUUACUCUCCGUAGAAAUCAUCAUUCUUACUGCUAUUUGUGGUACUUAAUUUUUACUUUAUAGAGAGCAAUUAUUGAAGAACCUGUAGCAAAACAUUUUAGGUUGUUUUUCUUUUUCCUUUCAAUGCAGUUUCCGUCCGUUAUCUUGUACUUUCCUACAAAUGUCAAAUACCUUUUCUUUUAUCAUGGCUAGAAAUUGUACUUACACUGUUGAACGAAGUCUGUUGUUUUUCAUUCUUUGUGGUACUAUAGAGGGUACCAGGAGAAAAAAUGGCUUGCUAAAUCAACUGUCGGAUCAGAAUUUUUUGCUGACAGCAACAUUUAUAUGAUAUUUCUGAGUGGUUCUCUAAUGUUAAUCCACAGUGCUUAUCUCCAUGGCUUUAUUCGUUUUCCUUGUUUGAAAACCUCACAAAACAAAAAAGAUGACGGGUGUCCAAGGCUCGAUUUAACCUUUGAAACACUUCCCACAUUAAUCUCUGUGAAAAUAUUGCAGUUCAUUAAUUACCGUGCUUCCUCCAGUUUCUUCCAUAUUCUUAAAAAAUAGAAUAUUGUUUAAUUUAUGUAGAUAAUACCAACACUCUUUUGUAGGUAAAGACACUUUACAUCUGUUUUUAACGCACAUAAUUCCAUAUCGAAAGAGAUUGAAUUUUUUACCCCCACUGUAGUUUUUUACUAAUCAGCUAUUCAAUCAUAAACUCUGAUAAGAAGAUGAAUAAAUUCUGAGUUCAGCAUAUCUUCCUUUCAAAAAGUUUGCGUACUCGCAAAAAUGUCUCUAAUUCUCUGUGACCGAUUAUCUUCAGAAUGAAAUAUAAAGGAAUAUUCAAUUGAUCAGCGUCUCAAAUUUGCUAAAUCCUUUUCUUGCUGAUAAGUACCUCCUAUUAUCUAUAAUCAAAUAAUCUAUGUUGAUAAGCUCUGUUUUGUUACCCAAUAACCACAAGUUUCUUGAGAGAGGUGUUAAAUAAUGAUUU
rnacentral:lncRNA from 1 species